AAAUGAAUUGACGGGGGCCCGCACAAGCGGAGGAACAUGUGGUUUAAUUCGAUGAUACGCGAGGAACCUUACCCGGGCUUGAACUGCAGAUGAAGGAUCCAGAGAUGGUGACGCCCUUCGGGGCAUCUGCGGAGGUGCUGCAUGGUUGUCGUCAGCUCGUGCCGUGAGGUGUCGGCUUAAGUGCCAUAACGAGCGCAACCCCUCUCCUCAGUUGCCAUCAGGUCAUGCUGGGCACUCUGUGGACACUGCCACCGUAAGGUGCGAGGAAGGUGGGGAUGACGUCAAAUCAGCACGGCCCUUACGUCCGGGGCUACACACGUGUUACAAUGGGGGGUACAGAGUGUCGGCCGCAUGCAAAUGCGGUCCAAUCAAUAAAGCCUCCCUCAGUUCGGACUGGGGUCUGCAACCCGACCCCACGAAGCUGGAUUCGCUAGUAAUCGCGCAUCAGCCAUGGCGCGGUGAAUACGUUCCCGGGCCUUGUACACACCGCCCGU
rnacentral:rRNA from 1 species